rnacentral:misc_RNA from 1 species
GGAGAGGAGAUUGGAGAAGUAGAAGCAGAGAGAGAGAGAGUGGUGGUGUAAAUUACGUAUAAGGGUGGAUCCAUUUUGAUUCAACUUUUGCUUAGGCCUAAUUUCCGAUGCCCUAACACGGAGGUCCGAUCAUCGACGGAGAAAGGGUUUUCCGACAUGAUGAUGGCUUUCAGUUUCAGAAUCGUCUUCCUCAUCCUCCUGCUCCCCGCCAUAGCCAUCGCUUGCUUCACUCUUCC